UCCCUGGUGGCUCAGAGGUUAAAGCGUCUGCCUGGAAUGAGGGAGACCCAGGUUCGAUCCCUGGGUCGGGAA
rfam:TPA: Bos taurus chromosome 3, whole genome shotgun sequence.